rnacentral:rRNA from 1 species
AAAUUGCGCGUCGACGUGUGAACUGCAGGACACAUGAACAUCGACGUUUCGAACGCACAUUGCGGUCCAUGGAUUCCGUUCCCGGGCCACGUCUGGCUGAGGGUCGGCUACGUGUACUGAAGCGCGCGGCGUUUUACCUGCCGCUUCGGAGACUUGGGAGCGUCGUGGCCCUCGCACUACGUGGGGCCGCGUCUCCUUAAGCGUGCAAUGCGCGCCCACCGCCUGGCGGUUCGCAUACCGGUACUGUCUCGGUAGCGUGCACAGCCGCCUGGCAGGUGCGGUGCGGGCCACCUCGUACAACGACCUCAGAGCAGGCGAGACUACCCGCUGAAUUUAA